rnacentral:rRNA from 1 species
AAGCUUGCUUGGUGGAUCAGUGGCGAACGGGUGAGUAACACGUGAGCAACCUGCCCUGAACUCUGGGAUAAGCGCUGGAAACGGCGUCUAAUACUGGAUAUGAGCUGCGGAGGCAUCUUCGUGGUUGGAAAGAUUUUUCGGUUUGGGAUGGGCUCGCGGCCUAUCAGCUUGUUGGUGAGGUAAUGGCUCACCAAGGCGUCGACGGGUAGCCGGCCUGAGAGGGUGACCGGCCACACUGGGACUGAGACACGGCCCAGACUCCUACGGGAGGCAGCAGUGGGGAAUAUUGCACAAUGGGCGGAAGCCUGAUGCAGCAACGCCGCGUGAGGGAUGACGGCCUUCGGGUUGUAAACCUCUUUUAGCAGGGAAGAAGCGAGAGUGACGGUACCUGCAGAAAAAGCGCCGGCUAACUACGUGCCAGCAGCCGCGGUAAUACGUAGGGCGCAAGCGUUAUCCGGAAUUAUUGGGCGUAAAGAGCUCGUAGGCGGUUUGUCGCGUCUGCUGUGAAAUCUGGGGGCUCAACCCCCAGCCUGCAGUGGGUACGGGCAGACUAGAGUGCGGUAGGGGAGAUUGGAAUUCCUGGUGUAGCGGUGGAAUGCGCAGAUAUCAGGAGGAACACCGAUGGCGAAGGCAGAUCUCUGGGCCGUAACUGACGCUGAGGAGCGAAAGGGUGGGGAGCAAACAGGCUUAGAUACCCUGGUAGUCCACCCCGUAAACGUUGGGAACUAGUUGUGGGGUCC